UGGCAACUCUGGUACGGAUGUGUGCAAAAAAAUAGUUCUUUAAAUCUCAGUGAAUUGAAGAUGUUUUACUGAUUUUGACAAAAUUUAUGUAAUAUUGAUUUCAACAACUUGUACUUGCUUAUGUCAAUUUCAACCAAUCACGAGCAGGUCCGAAAUUGGUCCUAAAAGUGGAUUAACAAUUGUCAGGUCAUGUCCUAGGAUUUACUGAGGAAGAAGAAAUUCAAAUCACCGUUACUGGCGGAGGCACUGAAUGAUCAAACAACGACUGAUAGCAUGUUUAUCGGAUAAUUAGCUAUACACCUUAUUAUCGCCAUUAUAUCCAUCAUCCCAAAAAAUAGACCCAAAAAUAUUCUCUGACAUAUGCAACAAAGUUGCUGAACGAACUGCGACCAGGAUUGGGCCAGAAAACGUGGCAACAAUUAGAAUGAUAUGUCAAGAACCAAUAAUCAAACGAUACCUUCCUAAAAAAAUUGCUGAUUUCAAGAAAGCUGCACUUGCGAAGAAGUCUCAAUAGUCCUAGUGAGCAAUUAUUUUCAACGCGUUUUAUAAAUGUUUUCGUGGAAUUUAUUUCAACAUCCGAAUUUACUUUUUGUGCCAUGUAUGAAAAGUACAUUUAAUGCUUACAUAGCAUAUAACAUAAAAAAAAGAAAAAAACACAUGAAUACUAGGCUGUACGAGAGAAGAGCAAAACUAUUAUGUACAAUAAUUGUUUUCUUAGAAUUAGUUCAAUACUUAUAUAAAUAGCAUAUAAUCAAACA